AAAUGAAUAGACGGGGACCCGCACAAGCAGUGGAGCAUGUGGUUUAAUUCGAUGCAACGCGAAGAACCUUACCCAGACUUGACAUGCAGUAGACAGCGCCAGAAAUGGCGUCUCCCUUCGGGGCUGCUGCACAGGUGCUGCAUGGCUGUCGUCAGCUCGUGCCGUGAGGUGUUGGGUUAAGUCCCGCAACGAGCGCAACCCUUAUCGUUAGUUGCCAACACGUAAUGGUGGGAACUCUAACGAGACUGCCUGGGUUAACCAGGAGGAAGGUGAGGAUGACGUCAAGUCCGCAUGGCCCUUAUGUCUGGGGCUACACACGUGCUACAAUGGUCGGUACAGAAGGCAGCGAAACCGCAAGGUGAAGCAAAUCCCAAAAAGCCGAUCCCAGUUCAGAUUGUAGUCUGCAACUCGACUACAUGAAGAUGGAAUUGCUAGUAAUGGCGAGUCAGCAACAUCGCCGUGAAUACGUUCCCGGGUCUUGUACACACCGCCCGU
rnacentral:rRNA from 1 species